AAAGAUAAGGAGAGGGUGUAUAAAAAUAAUGUGGAAGGAACAUUGUAAAAAUGUUAGAGAAGCAUGCAAGAUACCGGUAAGUGGAGACAAAAAUGGUUUAGUUUUCUUCUGAUUCAUUGUCUCUUACACAAAAGCAGUCCUCUAGAUGCACUCUUGCACAACCUACACAAUAUUCUAGCUCUUUUAGUAAUCCACUACAUCUGCAAUGAAAGAUUUAAUCACCUGUUUUGAGGGUUUCCACUUAACUAUAGAAAAAGCAGCCGAUGAGUGAAUCCAGCAAAACAAAAUGCAUUAUUUACAUGAAGGAGAUGAAUUUAGUCCUACACAGAUUAGAACGCUUCGUGUAUAUGAUGAUAUUAAGGAGUGGUUUAUGGUAUUGUGUUGAGUUAAUUAUAGAAAUUGUCAGUAAUGCCCAACCAUAAGGCUAACAACAAGUGUUCUUCUUUGAAUGUCAUGAAAUAAUUUCUGGAAAGGGCUGAUGGUAGUAUGGUUUUGUGGGUUACAUUUUUGUAUUAAGACAUUAACAGCAACCAAUAAUGUUUGACUCCUUACAUUGAGGGCACAUGGAUAUUCUUAGUACCUUUUAAAUGACCACUAUAGUACCAGGAAAACAUACAAGUUUUCC